UUAUGGUGGGCACUCUAAGGAGACUGCCGGUGACAACCGGAGGAAGGUGGGGAUGACGUCAAGUCAUCAUGGCCCUUACGGCCAGGGCUACACACGUGCUACAAUGGUCGGUACAAAGGGUUGCCAAGCCGCGAGGUGGAGCUAAUACCCAUAAAACCGAUCGUAGUCCGGAUCGCAGUCUGCAACUCGACUGCGUGAAGUCGGAAUCGCUAGUAAUCGUGAAUCAGAAUGUCACGGUGAAUACGUUCCCGGGCCUU
rnacentral:rRNA from 1 species